UACGUAGGGUGCAAGCGUUGUCCGGAAUUAUUGGGCGUAAAGAGCUCGUAGGCGGUGUGUCGCGUCGGCCGUGAAAACCUGCAGCUUAACUGUGGGCGUGCGGUCGAUACGGGCAUCACUGGAGUCCGGCAGGGGAGACUGGAAUUCCUGGUGUAGCGGUGAAAUGCGCAGAUAUCAGGAGGAACACCGGUGGCGAAGGCGGGUCUCUGGGCCGAUACUGACGCUGAGGAGCGAAAGCGUGGGGAGCAAACAGG
rnacentral:rRNA from 1 species